UACGUAGGGUCCAAGCGUUGUCCGGAAUUAUUGGGCGUAAAGAGCUCGUAGGCGGUGUGUCACGUCGGCCGUGAAAACCUGCAGCUUAACUGUGGGCGUGCGGUCGAUACGGGCAUCACUGGAGUUCGGCAGGGGAGACUGGAAUUCCUGGUGUAGCGGUGAAAUGCGCAGAUAUCAGGAGGAACACCGGUGGCGAAGGCGGGUCUCUGGGCCGAUACUGACGCUGAGGAGCGAAAGCGUGGGGAGCAAACAGG
rnacentral:rRNA from 1 species